rnacentral:misc_RNA from 1 species
AGAGACUCCAUACUGAAGACAAAAGAAUGUGCUUUUAUUACCUCAACCCAUAAUUCCAACAGGUUUAGAAGAAGUGAUCCGCGCGUGUCACCUCCCACAUAUGACCUUCUCACCACCAACUGGUCUAAUUGUACUAUCAACAGCUGGGCUAGAUAUUCUCAAAUACUCAGCAGACAAAUUGUACACACUAUCAUUGUCCAACUCCA